AUUGAACGCUGGCGGCAUGCCUUACACAUGCAAGUCGAACGGUAACAGGUCUUCGGAUGCUGACGAGUGGCGAACGGGUGAGUAAUACAUCGGAUCGUGCCUAGUAGUGGGGGAUAACUACUCGAAAGAGUGGCUAAUACCGCAUGAGAUCUACGGAUGAAAGCAGGGGAUCGCAAGACCUUGUGCUACUAGAGCGGCCGAUGGCUGAUUAGGUAGUUGGUGGGAUAAAAGCUUACCAAGCCGACGAUCUGUAGCUGGUCUGAGGGGACGAUCAGCCACACUGGGACUGAGACACGGCCCAGACUCCUACGGGAGGCAGCAGUGGGGAAUUUUGGACAAUGGGCGAAAGCCUGAUCCAGCAAUGCCGCGUGCAGGAUGAAGGCCUUCGGGUUGUAAACUGCUUUUGUACGGAACGAAAAGCCCCGGGUUAAUACCCUGGGGUCAUGACGGUACCGUAAGAAUAAGCACCGGCUAACUACGUGCCAGCCGCCGCAGUAA
rnacentral:rRNA from 1 species